rnacentral:rRNA from 1 species
UACGAAGGGGGCUAGCGUUGCUCGGAAUCACUGGGCGUAAAGCGCACGUAGGCGGGUCGUUAAGUCGGGGGUGAAAUCCUGGAGCUCAACUCCAGAACUGCCUUCGAUACUGGCGAUCUUGGAGUCCGGGGGAGGUGGGUGGAACUGCGAGUGUAGAGGUGAAAUUCGUAGAUAUUCGCAAGAACACCAGUGGCGAAGGCGGCUCACUGGCCCGGUACUGACGCUGAGGUGCGAAAGCGUGGGGAGCAAACAGG